rnacentral:piRNA from 1 species
UGGAAAAUGGAGGUCAUCUAUCCUGUGA